AUGAACUGCACACUCAAACACCAAAUUUAUAUAUAUCUUUUCACAACGACAAGGUAGAUAUAUUAUCACUUAUAACCAUAUACUUCCCAAUACAAUACAAUAAACUACACGUAGCCUUUAAAAUAAUUAUUCAAUUUGCGGCGUUCAAAUGUCACCAAUACAAACUGACAGGUUAUACAGGUUACAAAUGACAACUGUCAGAAAUACAAACUGACAGGUUAUACAGGUUAGAAACGAACAUGCGGCAGCCAUGUUACAAUUCCGGCCGACGAGCCCUGCCGACUGAAUCCGAGAGUCGACGAAUCGACGAACAGCCUUAGCUCCUAUUGGCUAAGUGUUGACGAAAAAUCGACUGGAAAAGUAUAAGACGGUUAGAAUGGACCAUCUCUCCUGUAAAAGAUAUAUAUAAGCGGUAGUGCCACGUUAUACAGGGUGGCUGUAUAAUUUUUCAUGAACUUGGCGUAGAGACGCUACCGUGUCUCUAGAUAACAGUUAAGAUCGUCUCAUAACUUUGAAAACUUAAAAUUUAUAUCUUAAUACACACCUGUGUGAAAUAUGGGUUCAAUUCACCAUUUAGUUUGUUAGAUAUGGUCACUUGAAUUUCUUGAUUUUUCAUCGCAUUUGUCAGGACGCUUAUGGCAGCCGACGGAAAAAAAGAAACUUUGUAUGAUACUUCUGACUGUAAAACAGUUUGUACAAUACAAAUCGAAACCAAAAAUGAAUGGCACCAAAUACUGCAAGAAAUAAUGCACAAAAGACAGUAAUGUUGCCUUGUAAAGCAUUAGAGCUACAUAUAAUAGUAGUUUUACCACUGUGACAUGUCAUGGUACAUCCAUAGCGCUAUAUUUUACCCGUUUACAAUAAGAAGAGGAGCAUACAACAUCAUUAAUAAAAGAUCUUUAAUUGAUCUAAGCAACUACAAUCAUUCUAAUAAGAGGAAACAAAGGGAUGAGUUGCUUGUUUCAUAAAGCAAAUAAUUUGCUGCCUUAAGCUUAUAACAGUGAUCUCCCAUUUGUAUUUUAGUAGUGGAUAUUGCUUUAAUGGAAAAAUUGUCCGCUUUCGUUGUUCCACUAGUAUUGUGAUUGAACAAGAGUAAUUUCCCAAUAAGAAUUUGUUUGGAAGCAGUUAUAUUGACUUUCUUCAUUAUGUGUUUGAAUUUGAAUUAUCACAAUUAUUGCAAAGACCUUUCAGAUUUAUCCAACCUGUGAAAUUGUAUUUUAUUAUAUCUUUAAAUUCAAAUGAUUUUUUCAACAUACUGAGCAGUGCAAGAUGUAAGCGUGUUUUUCUCCUGUGAAUACCAUAAUAAUAAUAUGUUCGGAUUUUUAUUCGACGAUUUAUAUUAGUCCAUUAGGACUUUUAUAACAUGUUACAUAUUAAUAUGCGUUUAGUAAAAUACCGUCCUUAAAAUUUUCAAUGCUUUAAAC